UGGGGAAUUUUGGACAAUGGGCGAAAGCCUGAUCCAGCAAUGCCGCGUGCAGGACGAAGGCCUUCGGGUUGUAAACUGCUUUUGUACGGAACGAAAAGGUAGCUCCUAAUACGAGCUGCCGAUGACGGUACCGUAAGAAUAAGCACCGGCUAACUACGUGCCAGCAGCCGCGGUAAUACGUAGGGUGCGAGCGUUAAUCGGAAUUACUGGGCGUAAAGCGUGCGCAGGCGGUUUUGUAAGAUAGAUGUGAAAUCCCCGGGCUCAACCUGGGAACUGCAUAUAUGACUGCAAAGCUAGAGUACGGUAGAGGGGGAUGGAAUUCCGCGUGUAGCAGUGAAAUGCGUAGAUAUGCGGAGGAACACCGAUGGCGAAGGCAAUCCCCUGGACCUGUACUGACGCUCAUGCACGAAAGCGUGGGGAGCAAACAGGAUUAGAUACCCUGGUAGUCCACGCCCUAAACGAUGUCAACUGGUUGUUGGGUCUUUACUGACUCAGUAACGUAGCUAACGCGUGAAGUUGACCGCCUGGGGAGUACGGCCGCAAGGUUG
rnacentral:rRNA from 1 species